AGCGGACGCUGGCGGCGUGCCUAACACAUGCAAGUCGAACGUGAAAGGGAGCAAUCCCAAGUAAAGUGGCGUACGGGUGAGUAACACGUAGGUAAUCUACCCCAGAAUCUGGAAUAACCGGCCGAAAGGCUGGCUAAUACUGGAUAGAGCGACGGAAUCCGUAAUUGGGUUUUUCGGGAAAGGGAGCCUGUAAAAAGGCCUUCGUUCUGGGAUGAGCCUGCGUCCCAUCAGCUAGUUGGUGAGGUAAAAGCUUACCAAGGCAAUGACGGGUAGCUGGUCUGAGAGGACGAUCAGCCACACUGGAACUGAAACACGGUCCAGACUCCUAUGGGAGGCAGCAGUGGGGAAUCUUGCGCAAUGGACGAAAGUCUGACGCAGCAACGCCGCGUGAGUGAAGAAGGCCUUCGGGUUGUAAAGCUCUGUCGAGUGGGACGAAAAUGCUUGGAGUUCACAGCUCCAGGAACUGACGGUACCACUAAAGGAAGCACCGGCUAACUCCGUG
rnacentral:rRNA from 1 species